CUAAAUGAUCAGUUUAUUGAAUUUUAGUAAUGUAAGUUGAGAUCAUGAAACAUACAAUCUAAUUCAAAAGAAGAAUCAUAGGUACCAAUUCAACACCAUUAGCACUACUUUCACAAUAGUGACACCCCACUUAUAACACUCUUUUUUGGGUCUCUGACUGUGAACAAGAUUGUGGAAGGUUGGUUGAGGUUAGGCCUAGGCAUUACGGUUAAGAAAUAACAGAUGCUAAUUAGUUAGUGGGGAAGUGAAGCUCAUGUUUAGGCCUUUUCAUAAUGUCUUUAUGCUAAAUAAAUUAAAUGAAGUAAACAGCCAUGGCUAUUGAACUACAGAAUACAUAAAAAUACAUUCUGUGAUUCACCUAUAAACAAAAGAGUAAAGCAGAAUGUGUCAAAUUUUCCAUAGCAGGUAAAGCAUAGAAAAAAAAUCUAGCUGAUAUAGUUGUUAUGUUUCAACAACAUAAAAUGAAAUGUUUCUAGGAUAGAAGAAAUUGGUACCAUUAACAUUUGGAUGGUUAUGGUACCAUAACAUUUUGAUAUAAUAUGCAAAAUGCUGCUUCCCCAACUAUGACCGCCAUUAUAACUUUUAAUGGAAUUAUAGGCUCCAAAUACUUUCUUCUGCAAGUUACCCACCCUUUCAUAUGUUUUUAAAAUGAAACACUAGACUGAUAAAUCAGUUCUUUUUCUUAAUUUAAAAGAAAAAAGCUUUGAGAAAGGCAAACCCCCUUCUCCAUGGUGAAGACUACAUGCUUGCAUGUGAGGACUCAAGCCCAGUGGUCUGGCUUUGAAUCUGCUUUCAAACUCCACCUUGUGUUGCUCAGAGUGACUUUGCAGGCCACGCUCAUAGCCCUCAGAUGGCUUAAAUGUAAUGAUGCCUAUGCUAGAGAAAAUUUCAUUCUACCUCUCUGAUCUAUUUUAGUGAUAUGGGAAUUUAUGUUAAGAAUGACAAUUUCUUUUUCUUUCUUUUUUUUUUUUUUGAGACGGAGUCUUGCUCUGUCACCGGGCUGGAGUGCAGCGGCGCGACCUCCUGGGUUCAAGUGAUUCUUAUGCCUCAGUCUCCCGAGUAGCUGGGAUUAUAGGCAUGCGUCACCAUACCCAGCUAAUUUUUGUAUUUUUAGUGGAGACAGGGUUUCACCAUGUUGGCCAGGAUGGCCUCGAUCUCCUGACCUCGUGAUCUGCCUGCCUUGGCCUCCCAAAGUGCUGGGAUUAUAGGCGUAAGCCACCACACCCGGCCAGGAAUGACAAUUUCAAUAUAUUUACUAUCUGUUCUUCAUUUUAUUAUUAUUUAGCUUCUGUUAACUCAGUGUUAGCUGAAACAUCAGAAAGAAAUAAAACUUAUGAGAAGGGUAUUAGCAAAUGUGUGAAAAAGUCAAGUACUGUUUAUACUCCAAAAAGUAUUUGGAGCUUAUAAUUCCUUUAAAAGUCAUACUGAGGGUCAUAGUUGGGGAUGUAGCAUUUUGCAUAUCACAUCAAACUGUUAUGAUGGUCCCAUAACCAUCUGAAUGUUAAUAGUACCCAUUUUCUUCUAUGCUGGAAGAGUUUUAUGUUCCCAAACCAUUUGCAAAAGUUGCUUACAGUUAUGAAAAGUCUUCUAGACAUAUGGAACCUAAGAAUGCUAUCUUGUAAUUUCCCAGAAAGUCCUUCAGGUACUUGAAGAAAUUCUUCAUAAACUUUGUUUCCAUUUAACAUUCUUCUCUCCAGAUAACAUAUAAUGUGUUACCUCUAAGCUUUCUCACAGCGACAAUGCCCUAACCUCUCAAUUAUUUUGAUUUCUCUCUAGGAUGGACUAGGAUUGCAAUUAAGAAGGCUUUGGAGAGAAAAUAACUUGUGAUUUUAAUACUGCAGGUAAAUUCUCU
rnacentral:lncRNA from 10 species